CCGCCAGAGAACUACAAGUGAAAAACUUAAAACUCAAAGGACUUGACGGUGUCCCAUACCGGCCUAGAGGAGCCUGUCCUAUAAUCGAUACCCCCCGCUCCACCCAACCACAACUAGCACAUGUUCAGCCUAUAUACCGCCGUCGAUCAGCCUACCCUAUGAAAGUCCAACAGUAGGCACAAUAGCCUUAUCGCUAAUACGUCAGGUCAAGGUGUAGCAAAUGUUGUGGAAGAGAUUGGCUACAUUUUUUAUUAUAAAAAAUACGAAAAAUACUAUGAAACAGUAUAUGAAGGUGAAUUUAGUAGUAAAAU
rnacentral:rRNA from 1 species